rnacentral:rRNA from 1 species
CCUACGGGAGGCAGCAGUGGGGAAUUUUGGACAAUGGGCGCAAGCCUGAUCCUGCAAUGCCGCGUGCAGGAAGAAGGCCUUCGGGUUGUAAACUGCUUUUGUCAGGGAAGAAAUCUUCUGGGUUAAUACCUCGGGAGGAUGACGGUACCUGAAGAAUAAGCACCGGCUAACUACGUGCCAGCAGCCGCGGUAAU